CUGAGAUCCACGUGUGUCUCUUUUUUGGUGUGUUUGUUUUACUAAGUGAAGAAGAAGCUUCAGUUUCUGCUAAAAUACGACCUUUUCUGGCCUCUGAGACAAAAGCUGAAGCUGAGUCUUGUUAAAACAGGGACUUUUGACAUUUCCAGCAUCAACCCUGGAUAAGAUCUGUCAUCUGAUUGCAUCAACACAACAGAACAUUACUCUGAAAUUCACCCGCAAGGUUUCCGCUGUGUUCAGAAGACAGGAAGCAGGUUCAGAGUGAAGAGCAUGCGGCGCAUCAUCAUCAUCACCAUCAUCAUCGUCACACUGCAAGAGAAAGUGCAAGAUUUGGGCUUUAGGAGCGUUUUCUAUGUGUGAACAUCCAACACCUGAACCAUGAACAAGCGGAAACUCAAUCUCAAGUGGUUUGGGAGCCUCACCAAUCUCACCAUCUGCCGCCAGUCAGCGAAGACCAACACCAAGACCGCCCCCGAGCAUGAUGGGAGCCUCUGUGGUGCCAAAUCAGCAGCGGCCGGGGACCAGUCGGUGGAUGACAUGAGCUCGUGCGUGCACAGCCCCAGCUACGCCUGCUCCAGAGACAUGUACACGCAUGUGGGCACUAUGCCCUGCAGCAAGAAGCAGAAGAAGAACGGCAGGGGGCUGAAGGAGAAGAAGAAGAAGAAGGAGGAGGAGGAGGAAGAUAGGGUGAGUGGAGGGCAGAGCCAGAGGAAGGCGGGAGAACACGUCCAAGACUCCCCCCUGCUCAGUGCUCUGUCCAGCCUCAGUCUGAGCAGUCUGGACCAACCUGUGCCUGUUUCUACACCCACCCGGCUGCUGCCCGCCACCCCGACACCCGUCCGGGCUUCACCUUUGACCUCGGCACCCGAAAUCCGCUUCAAGGAUCCUCCAGGAGAGGCACUGUCAAGAAGCAAGGAUGCUUCAGUAGGAAAGCCUUCAGAUAUGGCAGUUAAUGGCCCAAAGGUGGUUCCCAUGCAGGAUGUGUACGUGCAGAUGGACCCGAUAGGUGAGGGGGCUCGCAGCCAUGUGGACGACCAAACGGAGCAGCAGUGGGGGUUAUCACAGGAAAGCACCAGGACUGAGAAGGGUACUGACAGGUGAGAGAGUUUGAAAUAGUCUGUUUGGUUUCUCAGCCUGAGAUUCUAAUCAGAUUUCCUUUUAAAGGAGCAUGAGAACUAAAGCUUUAAAGCAGAAAGUCCCCAUCCUGUCAGGCUGUUGUUGUCUCAUUUCCUGAACUAUGUUACUUUCUUCAUGGCAACGUCAAACCAGAUAGCAGCAAAACAAAAUGCAGUGAACAAAGACAGAUACAGGAAUGAGAUUGUAAUUGCACAGAACGGACUGCACAUCUGGGCAGUGGUUGUGUAUCUGUCAGGACUGUGACUCUGGGUGUCCCAGUGAAUAACAAGAUAAGUAUUUAUAAACAGAAUAAGAUUAAGGUGAUACCGACCCGGUUCUGCCCUUAUAAUACCGAGACAGUUAUAAGAACAAAGUCCUUUAAUUUUACAAAGACACGAUGACAGGAAGACUAACCUAUAAAAAUACUUCGAUACUAAAGUAGUAAGUAAAAAUAUACGAAUGUUCUAAUAAAGUGAUUUAUUCUAAAUAACCCUGGUCUAGAUUAA
rnacentral:lncRNA from 1 species